UACGUAGGGGGCAAGCGUUGUCCGGAAUUAUUGGGCGUAAAGAGCGUGUAGGCGGUCCGGUAAGUCAGCUGUGAAAGUCAAGGGCUCAACCCUUGAAUGCCGGUUGAUACUGUCGGGCUAGAGUCCGGAAGAGGCGAGUGGAAUUCCCGGUGUAGCGGUGAAAUGCGCAGAUAUCGGGAGGAACACCAAUGGCGAAGGCAGCUCGCUGGGACGGUACUGACGCUGAGGAGCGAAAGCGUGGGGAGCAAACAGG
rnacentral:rRNA from 1 species